GGUCAAGCUACAAAGGGCUCAUGGCGGAUACCUUGGCACACAGAGGCGAUGAAGGACGUGGUUACCUGCGAUAUGUCUCGGGGAGCUGGAUACACGCUUUGAUCCGGGAAUUUCCGAAUGGGGCAACCCUUAGAACGGCCAGCUGAAUACAUAGGCUGGCACGAGCCAA
rnacentral:rRNA from 1 species